rnacentral:rRNA from 1 species
CUCCCUGAUGUUAGCGGCGGACGGGUGAGUAACACGUGGGUAACCUGCCUGUAAGACUGGGAUAACUCCGGGAAACCGGGGCUAAUACCGGAUGGUUGUUUGAACCGCAUGGUUCAGACAUAAAAGGUGGCUUCGGCUACCACUUACAGAUGGACCCGCGGCGCAUUAGCUAGUUGGUGAGGUAACGGCUCACCAAGGCGACGAUGCGUAGCCGACCUGAGAGGGUGAUCGGCCACACUGGGACUGAGACACGGCCCAGACUCCUACGGGAGGCAGCAGUAGGGAAUCUUCCGCAAUGGACGAAAGUCUGACGGAGCAACGCCGCGUGAGUGAUGAAGGUUUUCGGAUCGUAAAGCUCUGUUGUUAGGGAAGAACAAGUGCCGUUCAAAUAGGGCGGCACCUUGACGGUACCUAACCAGAAAGCCACGGCUAACUACGUGCCAGCAGCCGCGGUAAUACGUAGGUGGCAAGCGUUGUCCGGAAUUAUUGGGCGUAAAGGGCUCGCAGGCGGUUUCUUAAGUCUGAUGUGAAAGCCCCCGGCUCAACCGGGGAGGGUCAUUGGAAACUGGGGAACUUGAGUGCAGAAGAGGAGAGUGGAAUUCCACGUGUAGCGGUGAAAUGCGUAGAGAUGUGGAGGAACACCAGUGGCGAAGGCGACUCUCUGGUCUGUAACUGACGCUGAGGAGCGAAAGCGUGGGGAGCGAACAGGAUUAGAUACCCUGGUAGUCCACGCCGUAAACGAUGAGUGCUAAGUGUUAGGGGGUUUCCGCCCCUUAGUGCUGCAGCUAACGCAUUAAGCACUCCGCCUGGGGAGUACGGUCGCAAGACUGAAACUCAAAGG